GCUCCUGGCCGCCGCGGGCGGGCGGCGAGGGGUUGAGGAGGUGCGCGAAGCUGGCGGCGAAGGGGUUGGCUGCGAGCGGCUCGGUGCGGUACAUCUCCCAGAGCAGUAUUUCAGGAAGUUCAAAACAAAAGUAAAGAAGACAACAAAACAGACAGCUCAUACCACAGUUACACAUGGGGAGAAGAUGGCCACAUCGUGACAGGCCAAGAUUAGAGUGCUGCUGCUAUAAGCAAGGAACACCUGGGUUACAAGAAGCUGGAAGAGUCAAGGAAGGGAGAUUGUUGGUCCCAGUGGAUCUCCUGAGCUAAUAAGGAAGAUGCUCAGCUCUGUUGAAAACCAUUGCCUCUUAAAGCAAAGAUGGUUUCUUAGUCCAUUUUCUGCUGCUAUAACUGAAUACAACAGACUGGGCUGGGAAGAGCAUGGCACCAGCACUGCUCAGCCUAUGGAGGAGAUAAGGACAAGAAGUCAGCAGAAGCACACAGGCAGAGAGAGACACCACGUGAGGACACAUGGAGAAAAUGGCCAUCUCUAAGGCAGGAAAGAAGUCUGAGGACUCCAGCCCCACCCAGCACCUUGAUCUUGGACUUCCACCUCCAGAACUGUGAGGAAAUACAAGUCUACUGUUUUAUAUCACCCAGUUUGUGAGAUGUUGUCAUAGCAAUGCUAGCAAAUUAAUACAGCCUAUUGAGGUAGUCAACAAAAAUCCAGAGAAGACACAAGUCAAAUCUCCUGGCCACCAUUGUACCAUGCAAGUACCGUGUAGCAGAUUGCCUCCAAUCAUUUGGCCACAAAGAGUGCAGCAUGAUACCAAAUAACCUUAGGUCAUACAUUGCCGCAGUCUGGCUGGGCACAAUCAGGAGCCACUUGUCAAAAGAAACUAACUUUAUUUUUAGAACCACACACGCCAAACAAAACAGCCUCUCAGGAAAAACCCUCAGAGCCUCAACUGCCACCACCGGCUUUUUACAAGCCUCUCUCUCCCACACAAGCUUCUCUCCACCUCCCACAAUCCUCCUGCUCUUGAGGCCGAUUGGCUGGGUCACAUGGGCGGAGCCAAAAAAGUCCCCCAAUGAGCAGCUCCGUGGUCUGAAAGGGCAGGGAAACAGCCCAAUGAGCAUCACCGCAGAGGAGCCAAUCAGCUAGAUGUUGCUGGGGCCGAGGAGCCAAUCAGCUAGAUGUUGCUGGGGCCGCUGUGAGCCAAUCAUCAGCCGGCAGCUGGAAGUUUGCUGGCAGCUGGAAGUUUGCUGGGGCCCCUUCGGCUGUGGCUCUCAACAUCUCCCCCUCUCUGUUUAAAAAACAAGCAUGUGGCUUAGGGACCGUGCCUGCCUUAGGUUGUCCAAUAGUACAUAUGGUCCUUAGGUUGGUACCAUUGCAAUUGGAUCUUACCCGUCACUGACUACCGGUCCAGUAUACAGCCACACCUGUGGAGAGGUCUUUGUACCAGCGGGGGGGUGAGGUUCUUUGCCUCACCUCUGUUGGCCCCCAAAUUUUGGCUGGACAAUCAUGACAAGCAGAAGGGAGGAAGAUACACCAAGCCAAUUGACGGCUCCUUUUGGAAAAAUUGUACCACCAAUGACAUCAUCAGCAAAAAUACCCCAACACUACCACAAGUCGCUGCACCAACAGAUAGUUCACAAUGCAUACAGGUGAGCUCACAAUGUGUCCAGGCAAGUUCUGCAAGCAGUUCAGUGAUGGCUAUUGUAGAAGCUGUAGAUUGGUUUUAUCUUUGACUUCACCAGCACUGGGAUGAAGAUAGGAAUUCUGGCAAUAAUGGCUAAAGAAAAAAUUAUGUAGCAUUCCAGAAGGCACUAAAAGAAAACAAUUUUCUUAACAAUUUACAUUGUCUUCACCGGCACUGGGAUGAAGAUAGGAAUUCUGGCAAUAAUGGCUAAAGAAAAAAUUAUGUAACAUUCCAGAAGGCACUAAAAGAAAACAAUUUUCUUAACAAUUUACAUUAUCUUUAAGAGAAUUAUUAAAUAUAAUGAAAAGGAAAGGUGAAAGUAAACAAACAGAUCUGUUAACCUUCUUUUUUGUAUACAUAUUAAAACAAUCCUCAACAGUUGUUUACCCAAUUUAAAUUAAACCAUAUAUGGGGCUGAGGAUGUGGCUCAAGCGGUAGCGUGUUCGCCUCUCAUGCAUGCGGCCCGGGUUCGAUCCUCAGCACCACAUACAAACAGAGAUGUUGUGUCCGCCGAAAACUAAAAAAUAAAUAUUAAGAAAUAAAAUAAAAUAAAUUAAACCAUAUAAAUCAUGUGAAAAAAAAUAUUUGGAUCCAUUUUAUCAUGAGCGCUCAUCAUAUAUGAUAUAUGGACAUACGUACAUUCAAACAUAUAACACAAAACACAAGUGUGCACACAUAAUAUAAUACAUACAACACAUAACAUUAUAGUAAAGGCCUUAUAACUUUUUACAGGUGAAAUCUCCAUUGCAAUGUUUAAAAACUCUAUACUCAAAAAAUAGAACUGAUCAGCAAAACAUUAACCUAGGUCUGUAUGAGCUCAAAAAACAAAAUAGAACUUCAUGAUAUGGCAAAGGGCAAUAAUAAAAUAGAUAUUGAAAAAAGCAUCCUGGUUCUGUUGCAGAUGUAAGAAUAGCCAAACUGGAGUUUUGGAUAUCAGUUGUUAUGGAUUUGAGCCAAAUCAUCUUCUUUUUGGUCUGUAGAAAUCGCUUUAGUUAAUCUUUCUGGAAUCCAAAUCGGCUGCUGUUCUCCCUGUGGAAACACACAAACAGACCCCCGACUCCAGACAAUUACCUUUCCAUUGUCCUGUUAGAAUAUCCUUCCAAAGUACCUUGGGCUUAUGCACAUUUUUUGGACACAUAUGCCUUUCCGCAGCACUAAGUCCUGAUGAAUCCAAAUUUAAAAAGUUUAGAGUAAAAAGGGUUAUUUUAAGUUUAUCUUUGGGGAAUAUAUACCCCUUCCCAAUUCCUUCUUUUUGCUUUCAUAAGUACAUUUUAAGAGUUUGAUGAGCUCUUUCAACUAUGCCUUGUCCCUGUGGAUUGUAUGGGAUUCCUGUUAUAUGAGUAAUGCCAAAU